rnacentral:lncRNA from 1 species
AAGAUAUUAAACCCAUAACACUACUUAGGUAAAUGUCAAUCGCGACGAACAAGGACAACAACCAUAACCAACGCAAUUCCAGAAUCACUGGCAAACCAAUGUCAAGACCAAGGGUGUACUCAAAGACAAGUAAUUAAUCAGCGCAAGGGGACCAUUUGCCCCAAACCAACAAUCCAAAACCCAGCAGCAUACAUUUCAAAACAAGCAUCCCAACAAAAACACACACACCCCUCCCCACACAAAAAUGAGCACUGUCCUCAGGGCAACAACAGCAAACACAAGAAAACGAAAAGAAACAAGGCAGACAGA